UAAAGUGUCAAAGAAAAUUCCUGAGGAAAAAGUACCUGUUCCUGUUCAGAAAAAAGAGGCACCCCCAGCCAAAGUACCGGAGGUGCCUAAGAAAAUUGUGGUAGAAGAAAAAGUACGUGUUCCUGAAGAGCCCAGAGUUCCACCAACUAAAGUACCAGAGCCUCCCAAAGAAGUAGUUCCUGAAAAGAAAGCGCCAGUGGCUCCUCCUAAAGAGCCUGAAGUCCCACCUGUUAAAGUGCCUGAGGCUCCCAAAGAAGUUGUUCCUGAAAAGAAAGUGCCAGUGCCUCCUCCUAAAAAGCCUGAAGUGCCACCCACAAAAGUCCCAGAGGUGCCAAAGGCAGCUGUCCCAGAAAAGAAGUUGCCUGAAGCUAUUCCUCCCAAACCGGAAAGUCCUCCCCCUGAAGUGCCUGAAGUGCUGCCACCGAAGGAAGUGGUCCCAGAAAAGAAAGUACCGGUGCCUCCUGCCAAAAAGCCAGAAGCUCCACCUCCUAAAGUGCCUGAGGCUCCCAAAGAAGUUGUUCCUGAAAAGAAAGUGCCAGUGCCUCCUCCUAAAAAGCCUGAAGUGCCACCCACAAAAGUCCCAGAGGUGCCAAAGGCAGCUGUCCCAGAAAAGAAGGUGCCUGAAGCUAUUCCUCCCAAACCGGAAAGUCCUCCCCCUGAAGUGCCUGAAGUGCUGCCACCGAAGGAAGUGGUCCC
rnacentral:lncRNA from 1 species